UACGUAGGUGGCAAGCGUUGUCCGGAAUUAUUGGGCGUAAAGAGCGCGCAGGCGGUCUUGUAAGUCUGAUGUGAAAUCCCCCGGCUCAACCGGGGAGGGUCAUUGGAAACUGUGAGACUUGAGUACAGAAGAGGAGAGUGGAAUUCCACGUGUAGCGGUGAAAUGCGUAGAUAUGUGGAGGAACACCAGUGGCGAAGGCGACUCUCUGGUCUGUAACUGACGCUGAGGUACGAAAGCAUGGGGAGCAAACAGG
rnacentral:misc_RNA from 1 species